rnacentral:rRNA from 1 species
CCUGGUCUUGACAUCCACAGAACUUACCAGAGAUGGCUUGGUGCCUUCGGGAACUGUGAGACAGGUGCUGCAUGGCUGUCGUCAGCUCGUGUUGUGAAAUGUUGGGUUAAGUCCCGCAACGAGCGCAACCCUUAUCCUUUGUUGCCAGCGGUCCGGCCGGGAACUCAAAGGAGACUGCCAGUGAUAAACUGGAGGAAGGUGGGGAUGACGUCAAGUCAUCAUGGCCCUUACGACCAGGGCUACACACGUGCUACAAUGGCGCAUACAAAGAGAAGCGACCUCGCGAGAGCAAGCGGACCUCAUAAAGUGCGUCGUAGUCCGGAUUGGAGUCUGCAACUCGACUCCAUGAAGUCGGAAUCGCUAGUAAUCGUGAAUCAGAAUGUACACGGUGAAUA